rnacentral:rRNA from 1 species
GAUGAACGCUGGCGGCGUGCCUAACACAUGCAAGUCGAGCGAUUCUCUUCGGAGAAGAGCGGCGGACGGGUGAGUAACACGUGGGUAACCUGCCCUGUACACACGGAUAACAUACCGAAAGGUAUGCUAAUACGAGAUAAUAUACUUUUAUCGCAUGGUAGAAGUAUCAAAGCUUUUGCGGUACAGGAUGGACCCGCGUCUGAUUAGCUAGUUGGUAAGGUAACGGCUUACCAAGGCGACGAUCAGUAGCCGACCUGAGAGGGUGAUCGGCCACAUUGGAACUGAGACACGGUCCAAACUCCUACGGGAGGCAGCAGUGGGGAAUAUUGCACAAUGGGCGAAAGCCUGAUGCAGCAACGCCGCGUGAGCGAUGAAGGCCUUCGGGUCGUAAAGCUCUGUCCUCAAGGAAGAUAAUGACGGUACUUGAGGAGGAAGCCCCGGCUAACUGCGUGCCAGCCGCCGCCGUAAGAC